rnacentral:rRNA from 1 species
GACGAACGCUGGCGGCGUGCCUAAUACAUGCAAGUAGAACGCUGAAGGAGGAGCUUGCUCUUCUGGAUGAGUUGCGAAUGGGUGAGUAACGCGUAGGUAACCUGCCUGGUAGCGGGGGAUAACUAUUGGAAACGAUAGCUAAUACCGCAUAACAGUAGAUGUUGCAUGACAUUUACUUAAAAGGUGCAAUUGCAUCACUACCAGAUGGACCUGCGUUGUAUUAGCCAGUUGGUGGGGUAACGGCUCACCAAGGCGACGAUACAUAGCCGACCUGAGAAGGUGAUCGGCCACACUGGGACUGAGACACGGCCCAGACUCCUACGGGAGGCAGCAGUAGGGAAUCUUCGGCAAUAGACGGAAGUCUGACCGAGCAACGCCGCGUGAGUGAAGAAGGUUUUCGGAUCGUAAAGCUCUGUUGUAAGAGAAGAACGAGUGUGAGAGUGGAAAGUUCACACUGUGACGGUAUCUUACCAGAAAGGGACGGCUAACUACGUG